AGAGUUUGAUCCUGGUUCAGAUUGAACGCUGGCGGCAGGCCUAACACAUGCAAGUCGAACGGUAACAGGAAGAAGCUUGCUUCUUUGCUGACGAGUGGCGGACGGGUGAGUAAUGUCUGGGAAACUGCCUGAUGGAGGGGGAUAACUACUGGAAACGGUAGCUAAUACCGCAUAACGUCGCAAGACCAAAGAGGGGGACCUUCGGGCCUCUUGCCAUCGGAUGUGCCCAGAUGGGAUUAGCUAGUAGGUGGGGUAACGGCUCACCUAGGCGACGAUCCCUAGCUGGUCUGAGAGGAUGACCAGCCACACUGGAACUGAGACACGGUCCAGACUCCUACGGGAGGCAGCAGUGGGGAAUAUUGCACAAUGGGCGCAAGCCUGAUGCAGCCAUGCCGCGUGUAUGAAGAAGGCCUUCGGGUUGUAAAGUACUUUCAGCGGGGAGGAAGGGAGUAAAGUUAAUACCUUUGCUCAUUGACGUUACCCGCAGAAGAAGCACCGGCUAACUCCGUGCCAGCAGCCGCGGUAAUACGGAGGGUGCAAGCGUUAAUCGGAAUUACUGGGCGUAAAGCGCACGCAGGCGGUUUGUUAAGUCAGAUGUGAAAUCCCCGGGCUCAACCUGGGAACUGCAUCUGAUACUGGCAAGCUUGAGUCUCGUAGAGGGGGGUAGAAUUCCAGGUGUAGCGGUGAAAUGCGUAGAGAUCUGGAGGAAUACCGGUGGCGAAGGCGGCCCCCUGGACGAAGACUGACGCUCAGGUGCGAAAGCGUGGGGAGCAAAAAGGAUUAGAUACCCUGGUAGUCCACGCCGUAAACGAUGUCGACUUGGAGGUUGUGCCCUUGAGGCGUGGCUUCCGGAGCUAACGCGUUAAGUCGACCGCCUGGGGAGUACGGCCGCAAGGUUUAAAACUCAAAUGAAUUGACGGGGGCCCGCACAAGCGGUGGAGCAUGUGGUUUAAUUCGAUGCAACGCGAAGAACCUUACCUGGUCUUGACAUCCACGGAAGUUUUCAGAGAUGAGAAUGUGCCUUCGGGAACCGUGAGACAGGUGCUGCAUGGCUGUCGUCAGCUCGUGUUGUGAAAUGUUGGGUUAAGUCCCGCAACGAGCGCAACCCUUAUCCUUUGUUGCCAGCGGUCCGGCCGGGAACUCAAAGGAGACUGCCAGUGAUAAACUGGAGGAAGGUGGGGAUGACGUCAAGUCAUCAUGGCCCUUACGACCAGGGCUACACACGUGCUACAAUGGCGCAUACAAAGAGAAGCGACCUCGCGAGAGCAAGCGGACCUCAUAAAGUGCGUCGUAGUCCGGAUUGGAGUCCGCAACUCGACUCCAUGAAGUCGGAAUCGCUAGUAAUCGUGGAUCAGAAUGCCACGGUGAAUACGUUCCCGGGCCUUGUACACACCGCCCGUCACACCAUGGGAGUGGGUUGCAAAAGAAGUAGGUAGCUUAACCUUCGGGAGGGCGCUUACCACUUUGUGAUUCAUGACUGGGGUGAAG
rnacentral:rRNA from 1 species